GCGCCAGUAGCUCAGGGGAUAGAGCGACGGUCUCCGGAACCGUAGGUCGGAGGUUCGAUUCCUCUCUGGCGCGCCA
rnacentral:tRNA from 1 species